AGUGAUAAUAAUGAAGUAAAAAGAACAGAGUGCAGUACUGUGAUCCACCCAUGAUGAAGAAGUAGAAAUAUACUAGAAUAUAGAAUCGUGUGGCAUAGUAUUACACAGAUCUGGAUGAGACUUUGUCCUGCCUGGAAGGGAUGACAUCCAAUGAUGGCAGACCAGAGAGAUGUAGAAAACCUGAAUCCGGGGCCGGGCGUGGUGGCUCAAGCCUGUAAUCCCAGCACUUUGGGAGGCCGAGGCGGGUUGAUUACGAGGUCAAGAGAUUGAGACCAUCCUGGUCAACAUGGUGAAACCCCGUCUCUCCUAAAAAUACCAAAAAAUUAGCUGGGCAUGGUGGCGUGUGCCUGUAAUCCCAACUACUCAGGAGGCUGAGGCAGGAAAAUUGCCUGAACCCAGGAGGCAGAGGUUGCGGUGAGCUGAGAUUGCACCAUUGCACUCCAGCCUGGGUAACAAGAGCAAAACUCUGUCUCAAAAAAAAAAAAGAAAAGAAAACCUGAAUCCUUGAUGGAAUUUUAAACUGCUAAAUCAACCAAUGCUGAGCCCUUCCUUCCAUAAGACUUAUGUUUUCACCCGAUUAGAGUCAGGAUUUUAAUUACGUGAAGCUAAAACAUCCUAAUACAACUGGUAUGGGAGAGAUGUCCUCUUUGAUGCCAGUGUUCUGGAAUCUGGAAAAGAGCCCUCUAGGUGCACCCCACUUUGGUUCCCAAAGUUGUGAUGUUGACAAAUACAGCCCUAAUGAGCAUGUGCUUUAGAUAAACAAUUAUAAAUAUAACAACCAAAUAUAAAUAUAACAACAAACUGUAUCAAUAUUUCUACUAUAAUAAAAUUUUUAAUGUUUUACUCCCUCAAGCUAUUCAACAAGGUCUACCUAUUAACUUCUUUUGUUUUUGUAAAUAUAACAAUAUUGCUAUCUCAUUGUCCAUCCACGUCCAUUUCGGGCACUAUUCUUAGCAUCCAAGUUACUACAGUAAAAAAAACUGAUAUGGCCCCUACUCUUUGGAAUUUACAGCCAAGUUAGGGAGACAGUUAAACCAGAAAAGCAACACAUAAAUAGGUGAUUUCAGGACAGGAUUCGUGCUAAGAAAAAAUGUAAACCAAGGAAUGUGAUAAGAGUUGGGAAUGAAGGGAAAGGUAUCAGAUUGAGGGUCAAGAAAGCCUCUCUGAGAUGAUGACAUUUGAGCUGAGACCUAGAAGGUGACAUUUGAGGAGAAAACACCAGCCUGGAAAAAGAGUAAGAAUGUAAGAGGAAGAAGGAAUAGAAACUGCAAGAGCCCAGAGAUGGGAACCAACUUGAUGUGACUAUAAUUAUCUUCCUUUUCCUAAUGAGAAUAUUACUAACUUCUUCUUGUCAUUGAAGAGUUGGAUGUAUAGUUUUCCACAUUUUCCCAGCUUUUGCAAUGAUAUCCAGGUUACAAGAAUAUAAGCAAGCCUUUCUUCCUACUCUUAUUUCUUAUUAAAAAUAUAAUAAAAAGAAUUUAGGUCAGAGAGAAAAAUCUAGGAAUUUUUCGUACAUGAUUUUUCAAAUGUUUUUGUUACCAAAAAAAAACUACAAUGUUUUUCAUGUAACGGACUAGAUUACCCAGAGAGCAGUAAUUUUAAAAAUGCUGUCUUCCAUGGGUUAUAUGACAGGCAGUUUUCAAAAGCCUGAUCACAUGCAGGGAGCAGGAGAGUUGUCUCAGAAAUGGUGCUAGAGGUAUGGGAUGCAGGUUCACAUAUCUUGGAUGUGCUCAUAAAAAGGGAAUUACUUAGGGAACUGCCCCUUCUUCUUGGACCCCCCAGAGAACUUUCAGAUCCCAUGACUGCCACAGUCAAGCUCUAUUAUGGAAAAUUCACACCGAUUUUCAGGAAGGGCUUCCCCCUGAAAAGCCCUUCAUUUGACUUGCGGAUAACAGAAAUGUGGUUUCUGUCAUGCAAUACAAAAUGGUAUUUCAAAACAAUUUCAACAAAUGGUUUUACCAAAAAUAUCCCACGGCAAAGUGUUAUCAUUGUUUUCCCUUUGAAUUGGCUUAGUGUACUAAAGAAUUUAAGACUGCCACUUCCUUUGCAUUUUUUUCUUUUCAUGUGAUAUGACAAGGGAGAGGAAUUUUCUGUUUAAAGUGAGAGAACAAGGUAAUGUUAAUAACUUCAACUCUUCACCUGACAGAGAGACAAAACUGAAGGAAACCCAAGCUUUGAAAAAACACAGGCUGAUUUCAAGCCAGUUAGUUGUGUCAGAGGAAAAAUACCUUCAAGAUUUUUUUUAAGAAUCAAAGGAAGCAAAAGUUAUUUUGAUUCUCAUAGAGAUAGCCAUCAUGAAGUACACUUACAAUCAUACUAAGGUGAAAAUCAAAAUUAUUUAAUUUUGGCAAGGUGCAAUGGCUCACACCUGUAAUCCCAGCACUUCAGGAGGCCAAGGUGGGUGGAUCACUUGAGUCCAGGAAUUUGAGACUGGGGGUGAGCAUGGUGAAAACCUGUCUCUAUAAAAAAAUACAAAAAUUAGCCAAGCGUGGUGGCACGUGUCUGUAGUCCCAGCUACUUGGGAGGCUGAGGUGGGAGGAUUGCUUGAGCCCAGGACACUGAGAUUGUAGUGAGCCAAGAUCACACCACUGCACUCUAGCCAGGGCAACAGAGUGAGACGCUGUCUCCAAAACAAAUUAUUUAAUUUUGUCCAUAGUCGAAAUUCUGUUGUACAGAGAAAUCACAGCAUUGCUACUUUGUGAUAAUAAAAAUAUAACAUCUUAACAUUUUACUCCAUGAAUAAUCAGAUUUGGGGUGUUGACAGAUGUGGUGGAUUUCAGGCAAAAACAAGUUUUGCUUUGUAGAUCCAAUGUGACUGACUAGAUUCAAACUGUUUCCAAGUUCUUAUGGGUCAUAUCUGGACUAAGUUUUCUUGUCAUAUAGAGAAUAAAACAGCAAAUGUGGACAAGUGUUGAUGAGCAAACAUCCAAGGAACGUUGAGGUCCUUCCUGUGUUUACAUAGUCUAAUGAUGGAACAAUCACUGAAGCCCAUAAGACUGGUCCUAAUCUGGCCUUGUCAUUCCUCCAACUCCCAGAGUCAGAGUUUCCACACCACCUCUUCUACCUUCCUUCUUCUCCAUCAGGGGACUCUUCUUGAGGAUACACAUAUGGGUUGUUCUCACACUCAGGGGUUUGAAGAUCCUUUCUCAGUUACUUCAUCCCAAGCCCCUUAAACCUACCUUCUUCUAUAGUGAUAUCUACAUCCCCCAUUCCAGUCACCCUUACCGCAUAUCUGAUCUUGUACAAUGGCCCUCUCUGGUGACUCCCACACUUCCUAAUUCUCUUCCUUAUCAGAAUCCCUCCUUCAUGUGGUGGUAGAAAUCUUACACAAUUGACAUUCCUAAGACUCUUCCUUAUCAAGAACCUAUGGCCUGCUGUGUGCCAGAUGAAAGCCAUAUUGGUCUACCUAGACCUCCAAGCCCUUCAGAAAUUUCAGUCCCUCCCAUUUUACCAUUCCAACCAACAUAUCAGUUUGGGUCCAAGAUGAGAAUUCCUGACAUAAUGACUAUUAGAAUGUAAGCUCCCUGAGGGCAGGGACUUUUUCUGGCUUGUUCCUUGCUAUAUCCCAUGCUGAAUGAAUGAAUGAAUAAAUUAAUGGACAAAUGAA